GCUGGGGAACAGGUACUAUGUCAGUCCACUGUGCCUUUGGGGGAAAAUCUUCAGUAAAACUGGGGAAGGGUUUGGGAAAUGACAACUUCCCAAGCUUAUGGAUAAAGGAUUACACGAGAAAAAAACAAACAGGUUUUUCUGGAGUGGGCCACUGGGGCCUUGGCAGUGAGCCUGUGGAGGUGUCUUUAUAUCUGGGCCAAGUGUAUUUGCUGCUGCUGAUUUUUUUUUCUUCUAGUAAUUUUACAUUUACGGAAGAGUCGCAAAGAUAGUGUAGAGUUCUUAUCCAGCUUCCUGUAACGAUAACGUUUUUUAUAACCAGAGUACAGGUAUCAAAAGUAAGGAAUUAACAUUGGCACAGUCCUAUGAAUACAAUUGUAGACUUCAUUCAUAUUCCCCCAGUUUUUCCAUGAAAUGUCUUUCCAUACCACUUUGCAUGUAAAUGUUGUCUUAGUCUCUGGUCUGUGACAUUUUCUUGGUCUUUCUUGGUCUUUCAUUGCCUUAACAACUUUUUCUUCAUCAUCUACAUCAUCAUCCUCUCUUUUAAUUCUGUUUUUCAUUAUUUAUUUUUGAAAAGGAGAGGAUGUCAGUGGGCAGAGGCAGAGAGAGAGAGAGAGAGAGAGAGAGAGAGAAUCCCCCUACAUGGGACUCAAUCCAUGUGCCCCGGGAUCAUGACCUGAGCUGUAACCAAGAGUCAGACGCUUAACUGACUGAGCCACCCAGAUGCUCCUAAGUUAUUGGAUUGUUUUCUUGAGAUAUAUUUUACAUACUACAAAAUUCACUAACUCCAAAGGUACAAUUCGGUGAUUUGUAGUGUAUUUUUACAGAGUUGUUCAGCCUUUAAACAUAAAUAAGGAAGUAUUCAUAGGAACAGUUCCGAAAAAUCAAAAGCCCCCUCACCUCACAAACCUUUUGUCCUAGAAGUAACCGUAUCAUUUGAUGCAUACAUCCUUGUCAGCCUUCUUGAAUAUAUGCAUAUGUGUGCUUAUGAAAACGUACAAUUUUGUUGUGUAUGGUUAAAAAUACAACCAAAUGGAAUUAUGCUUUAUCUGUAUUGUGUUUUCACUUAAGAUCAUGGGGACAUUUUCCAGGUCAGCAAGCUCAGGGACGCUGAGCCUUCUUACCUGCUGUGUGGUGGUGGAAGAGGUCCUCUCCGAGUGUACCUUGUGGUCACCUCCAGUGUGUCUUCAUCACAAACAAUAUCUUUUUUUUUUCUUAACGUAAUUUGUUGUCAAAUUGGCUAACAUACAGUGUGUACCGUGUGCUCUUGGUUUUGGGGGUAGAUUCCCAUCGUCGAUUGCUUACAUACAAUACCCAGUGUUCAUGCAAACAGUUGCCCUCCUCAAUGCCCAUCACCCAUUUUCCCCUUUCCCCAGCCCCCUCCCAUCAACCCUCCAUUUGAUCUCUGUAUUUAAGAGUCUCUAAUGGUUUGCCUCCCUCCCUCCUGUUUGUAACUAUUUUUCCCCUUCCCUUCCCCAGUGGUCUUCGGUUAAGUUUCUCAAGUUCCA
rnacentral:lncRNA from 1 species